rnacentral:rRNA from 1 species
AACGAACGCUGGCGGCAUGCCUAACACAUGCAAGUCGAACGAGACCUUCGGGUCUAGUGGCGCACGGGUGCGUAACGCGUGGGAACCUGCCCUUAGGUUCGGAAUAACUCCCCGAAAGGGGUGCUAAUACCGGAUAAUGUCUUCGGACCAAAGAUUUAUCGCCUUUGGAUGGGCCCGCGUUGGAUUAGCUAGUUGGUAGGGUAAAAGCCUACCAAGGCGACGAUCCAUAGCUGGUCUGAGAGGAUGAUCAGCCACACUGGGACUGAGACACGGCCCAGAAUCCGACGGGAGGCAGGAGAGGGGAAUAUUGGACGAUGGGCGAAAGUCUGAUCCAGCAAUGCCGGGUGAGUGAUGAAGGGCUUAGGGUUGUAAAGCUCCUUUACCCGGGAUGAUAAUGACAGUACCGGGAGAAUAAGCGCCGGCUAACUACGUG